rnacentral:rRNA from 1 species
UUUUUAUAUUAAAGACAAGAAGACCCUAUGAAUUUAUUAAUUUUUAUUUAAUAUGUAAUUACUAUUAGAAAAAUUUUGGCUGGGGCGGCUAGAAAAUAUUAUAAACUUUUUAAAAAUAAAAUGAUCCAUUAUUAAUGAUUUUAUGUUAAAUACUCUAGGGAUAACAGCGUUAUAUUUUUUGAUAGAUCAUAUUGACAAAAAAGUUUGCGACCUCGAUGUUGGAUUAGGAUACUUUUUAAUGAAGAUAUAAA